AUUGAACGCUGGCGGCAGGCCUAACACAUGCCAGUCGAACGGUAACAGGAAGCAGCUUGCUGCUUCGCUGACGAGUGGCGGACGGGUGAGUAAUGUCUGGGAAGCUGCCUGAUGGAGGGGGAUAACUACUGGAAACGGUAGCUAAUACCGCAUAAUGUCGCAAGACCAAAGAGGGGGACCUUCGGGCCUCUUGCCAUCGGAUGUGCCCAGAUGGGAUUAGCUUGUUGGUGGGGUAACGGCUCACCAAGGCGACGAUCCCUAGCUGGUCUGAGAGGAUGACCAGCCACACUGGAACUGAGACACGGUCCAGACUCCUACGGGAGGCAGCAGUGGGGAAUAUUGCACAAUGGGCGCAAGCCUGAUGCAGCCAUGCCGCGUGUAUGAAGAAGGCCCUCGGGUUGUAAAGUACUUUCAGCGGGGAGGAAGGGAGUAAAGUUAAUACCUUUGCUCAUUGACGUUACCCGCAGAAGAAGCACCGGCUAACUCCGU
rnacentral:rRNA from 1 species